rnacentral:rRNA from 1 species
GCCUCAGUAACGGCGAGUGAAGCGGCAAAAGCUCAAAUUUGAAAUCUGGCCCUUUCAGGGUCCGAGUUGUAAUUUGCAGAGGAUGCUUCGGGAGCGGCGGCGGUCUAAGUCCCCUGGAACGGGGCGUCGUAGAGGGUGAGAAUCCCGUCUUGGACCGCAUGCCCGUGACCGUGUGAAGCUCCUUCGACGAGUCGAGUUGUUUGGGAAUGCAGCUCAAAAUGGGUGGUAAAUUUCAUCUAAAGCUAAAUACUGGCUGGAGACCGAUAGCGCACAAGUAGAGUGAUCGAAAGGUUAAAAGCACCUUGAAAAGGGAGUUAAAUAGCACGUGAAAUUGUUGAAAGGGAAGCGCUUGCAACCAGACUCGGCCGCAGAGGCUCAGUGGGCACGUGUGCCCAUGCACUCCUCUGUGGUCGGGCCAGCAUCAGUUCUGACGGCCGGUCAAAGGCCCCCGGAAUGUAUCCUCCUCCGGGAGGUCUUAUAGCCGGGGGUGCAAUGCGGUCAGUCGGGACUGAGGAACGCGCUUCGGCACGGAUGCUGGCGUAAUGGUUGUAAGCGACCCGUCUUGAAACACGGACCAAGGAGUCUAACAUCCACGCGAGUGUUAGGGUGUCAAACCCUUGCGCGCAGUGAAAGCGAACGGAGGUGAGAUCCCCGCAAGGGGCGCAUCAUCGACCGAUCCUGAAGUCUUCGGAUGGAUUUGAGUAAGAGCGUGGCUGUUGGGACCCGAAAGAUGGUGAACUAUGCCUGAAUAGGGUGAAGCCAGAGGAAACUCUGGUGGAGGCUCGCAGCGGUUCUGACGUGCAAAUCGAUCGUCAAAUUUGGGUAUAGGGGCGAAAGACUAAUCGAACCAUCUAGUAGCUGGUCCUGCCGA